GAUGAACGCUGGCGGCGUGCCUAAUACAUGCAAGUCGAGCGAACGGACGAGGAGCUUGCUUUUCUGAUGUUAGCGGCGGACGGGUGAGUAACACGUGGAUAACCUACCUAUAAGACUGGGAUAACUUCGGGAAACCGGAGCUAAUACCGGAUAAUAUUUUGAACCGCAUGGUUCAAUAGUGAAAGACGGUCUUGCUGUCACUUAUAGAUGGAUCCGCGCUGCAUUAGCUAGUUGGUAAGGUAACGGCUUACCAAGGCAACGAUGCAUAGCCGACCUGAGAGGGUGAUCGGCCACACUGGAACUGAGACACGGUCCAGACUCCUACGGGAGGCAGCAGUAGGGAAUCUUCCGCAAUGGGCGAAAGCCUGACGGAGCAACGCCGCGUGAGUGAUGAAGGUCUUCGGAUCGUAAAACUCUGUUAUUAGGGAAGAACAAAUGUGUAAGUAACUGUGCACAUCUUGACGGUACCUAAUCAGAAAGCCACGGCUAACUACGUG
rnacentral:rRNA from 1 species